rnacentral:sRNA from 1 species
GAUUCUGCCCUACGGGGAAGGAUGAGAAGCUUCGACUAAGGUUCGACUCGAGCGCCAGCGAGAGAACGUUGCCACAGGCAACGGCCCGAAGGGCGAGGAGCGAUAGCGACGAGUUAUCCUUCCCCCACCACCA